rnacentral:ncRNA from 1 species
CUUCGGAAGGGAUGUAUUUAUUAGAUUAAAAACCAAUGCCCUUCGGGGCUCACUGGUGAUUCAUGAUAACUCCUCGAAUCGCAUGGCCUUGUGCCGGCGAUGGUUCAUUCAAAUUUCUUCCCUAUCAACUUUCGAUGUUUGGGUAUUGGCCAAACAUGGUUGCAACGGGUAACGGAGGGUUAGGGCUCGACCCCGGAGAAGG